rnacentral:rRNA from 1 species
GCGAUGAAGGGCGUGCUAAUCUGCGAUAAGCGCCGGUAAGGUGAUAUGAACCGUUAUAACCGGCGAUACCCGAAUGGGGAAACCCAGUGUGAUUCGUCACACUAUCAUUAACUGAAUCCAUAGGUUAAUGAGGCGAACCGGGGGAACUGAAACAUCUAAGUACCCCGAGGAAAAGAAAUCAACCGAGAUUCCCCCAGUAGCGGCGAGCGAACGGGGAGGAGCCCAGAGCCUGAAUCAGCAUGUGUGUUAGUGGAAGCGUCUGGAAAGGCGCGCGAUACAGGGUGACAGCCCCGUACACAAAAGCGCAUGUGCUGUGAGCUCGAUGAGUAGGGCGGGACACGUGGUAUCCUGUCUGAAUAUGGGGGGACCAUCCUCCAAGGCUAAAUACUCCUGACUGACCGAUAGUGAACCAGUACCGUGAGGGAAAGGCGAAAAGAACCCCGGCGAGGGGAGUGAAAAAGAACCUGAAACCGUGUACGUACAAGCAGUGGGAGNNNNNNNNNNNNNNNNNNNNNNNNNNNNNNNNNNNNNNNNGGCGUUAAGUUGCAGGGUAUAGACCCGAAACCCGGUGAUCUAGCCAUGGGCAGGUUGAAGGUUGGGUAACACUAACUGGAGGACCGAACCGACUAAUGUUGAAAAAUUAGCGGAUGACCUGUGGCUGGGGGUGAAAGGCCAAUCAAACCGGGAGAUAGCUGGUUCUCCCCGAAAGCUAUUUAGGUAGCGCCUCGUGAAUUCAUCUCCGGGGGUAGAGCACUGUUUCGGCUAGGGGGCCAUCCCGGCUUACCAACCCGAUGCAAACUGCGAAUACCGGAGAAUGUUAUCACGGGAGACACACGGCGGGUGCUAACGUCCGUCGUGAAGAGGGAAACAACCCAGACCGCCAGCUAAGGUCCCAAAGUCAUGGUUAAGUGGGAAACGAUGUGGGAAGGCCCAGACAGCCAGGAUGUUGGCUUAGAAGCAGCCAUCAUUUAAAGAAAGCGUAAUAGCUCACUGGUCGAGUCGGCCUGCGCGGAAGAUGUAACGGGGCUAAACCAUGCACCGAAGCUGCGGCAGCGANNNNNNNNNNNNNNNNNUGCUGGAGGUAUCAGAAGUGCGAAUGCUGACAUAAGUAACGAUAAAGCGGGUGAAAAGCCCGCUCGCCGGAAGACCAAGGGUUCCUGUCCAACGUUAAUCGGGGCAGGGUGAGUCGACCCCUAAGGCGAGGCCGAAAGGCGUAGUCGAUGGGAAACGGGUUAAUAUUCCCGUACUUGGUGUUACUGCGAAGGGGGGACGGAGAAGGCUAUGUUGGCCGGGCGACGGUUGUCCCGGUUUAAGCGUGUAGGUGUGUGUUCCAGGUAAAUCCGGUUCACUUUAACACUGAGGCGUGACGACGAGGCACUACGGUGCUGAAGCAACAAAUGCCCUGCUUCCAGGAAAAGCCUCUAAGCAUCAGGUAACACGAAAUCGUACCCCAAACCGACACAGGUGGUCAGGUAGAGAAUACCAAGGCGCUUGAGAGAACUCGGGUGAAGGAACUAGGCAAAAUGGUGCCGUAACUUCGGGAGAAGGCACGCUGACACGUAGGUGAAGUGAUUUACUCAUGGAGCUGAAGUCAGUCGAAGAUACCAGCUGGCUGCAACUGUUUAUUAAAAACACAGCACUGUGCAAACACGAAAGUGGACGUAUACGGUGUGACGCCUGCCCGGUGCCGGAAGGUUAAUUGAUGGGGUCAGCGCAAGCGAAGCUCCUGAUCGAAGCCCCGGUAAACGGCGGCCGUAACUAUAACGGUCCUAAGGUAGCGAAAUUCCUUGUCGGGUAAGUUCCGACCUGCACGAAUGGCGUAAUGAUGGCCAGGCUGUCUCCACCCGAGACUCAGUGAAAUUGAACUCGCUGUGAAGAUGCAGUGUACCCGCGGCAAGACGGAAAGACCCCGUGAACCUUUACUAUAGCUUGACACUGAACAUUGAGCCUUGAUGUGUAGGAUAGGUGGGAGGCUUUGAAGUGUGGACGCCAGUCUGCAUGGAGCCGACCUUGAAAUACCACCCUUUAAUGUUUGAUGUUCUAACGUGGACCCGUAAUCCGGGUUGCGGACAGUGUCUGGUGGGUAGUUUGACUGGGGCGGUCUCCUCCUAAAGAGUAACGGAGGAGCACGAAGGUUGGCUAAUCCUGGUCGGACAUCAGGAGGUUAGUGCAAUGGCAUAAGCCAGCUUGACUGCGAGCGUGACGGCGCGAGCAGGUGCGAAAGCAGGUCAUAGUGAUCCGGUGGUUCUGAAUGGAAGGGCCAUCGCUCAACGGAUAAAAGGUACUCCGGGGAUAACAGGCUGAUACCGCCCAAGAGUUCAUAUCGACGGCGGUGUUUGGCACCUCGAUGUCGGCUCAUCACAUCCUGGGGCUGAAGUAGGUCCCAAGGGUAUGGCUGUUCGCCAUUUAAAGUGGUACGCGAGCUGGGUUUAGAACGUCGUGAGACAGUUCGGUCCCUAUCUGCCGUGGGCGCUGGAGAACUGAGGGGGGCUGCUCCUAGUACGAGAGGACCGGAGUGGACGCAUCACUGGUGUUCGGGUUGUCAUGCCAAUGGCACUGCCCGGUAGCUAAAUGCGGAAGAGAUAAGUGCUGAAAGCAUCUAAGCACGAAACUUGCCCCGAGAUGAGUUCUCCCUGAGACUUAGAGUCUCCUGAAGGAACGUUGAAGACGACGACGUUGAUAGGCCGGGUGUGUAAGCGCAGCGAUGCGUUGAGCUAACCGGUACUAAUGAACCGUGAGGCUUAACCUUACAACGCCGAAG